rnacentral:tRNA from 1 species
GCGGGUAUAGCUCAGUGGUAGAGCAUGUGCUUAGCAUGCACGAGGUCCUAGGUUCAAUCCCUGGUACCUUCA